CCUACUUCUUAUUGAAUCAAAGAAGAUGGCUAAGUUAAAUAAGAAGUUGAGGCGUCGUAUGUUGAAUCUUGAAGAAGAAAACAACAACGUAAAGAGUUUGAAUAAGUCUCUUGAGGAGGAAAGAGAUUCAAGUUUGAAGAUUAAUUCGGACCUCCAACAGAAGCUUAAUGAUGCGGAAUCUACGAUCAAAUCUUCUAAUGACAAGAUUGAAUUUUUGGAGCAUCAAUUUCAUGAAUCGCACAAGUCCAAUCAAGUCUUGACCGAUCAAGUUC
rnacentral:lncRNA from 1 species